rnacentral:rRNA from 1 species
CCCUUAGAUGUUCUGAGCCGCACGCGUGCUACACUGAGUAAUUCAAUGGGUAAGGGAACGCUAGAGCAUUACCUAAUCUUGAAAUUUGCUCGUGAUGGGGAUCGACGGUUGCAAUUUUCCGUCGUGAACGAGGAAUACCUUGUAGGCGCAUGUCAUCAUCAUGCGCCGAAUACGUCCCUGCCCUUUGUACACACCGCCCGUCGCUCCUACCGAUUGAGUGAUCCGGUGAGGCUCUGGGACCUGGACGGAAAGAGCGUUUCGCUUGUUCUGUUUGGGAAACUUGGUCGAACCUUAUCAUUUAGAGGAAGGAGAGGUCGUAACA